GGCGCGCCCCCCCUCCCUCGCUGGGGCGAGGGACGAGCGGGGCCGCGCCCGCGCGCUACGUGGUGGAACCCGCCCGGCGGGCGCAACAGGAGGCCGGCCCGCGGGGAACCGCGCGGCCCGCCGCGUCACGUGACGCUUCCUGCCAACAGGUCGCCCCAGGCGCGGCCCGGGGGGGAGGGGCGGCCCGUUGCGCCCCUCACUUCACCCCCAGGGCGAGGACGUGCUCGUGUCUAGAGGCUGACGCCGUGGGCUUGACAAAGAGCUGAAUAGUCUUCAGAGAAUUAAGAAGUUGAAACCACAACAUGGAAGACACCUGGGGUUCACAAGUGAGUGAUUGGAGAAGCGCUGCCUAGGAGAGCUAAAAGACCAGAACACCCAAAGUAAUAAAUUCACUUUGUAAAAGAAUUACUUGUAUGAGAGAAAAAUAAUAAAUAGCCGAAAUAUUUCAAACUGUUAUCUAGAAUAAAUCUUAUACUGUGGCUCCACAAAAUAAUUCAAGAUCAAGAGUUGUGAUUGCUCUUUCUGCUAAUGUUUGGCUAUUUGGAUGUUUUUGUGCUUUAUAUGAAUUUUAGGAUUUUUCUUUUUCUUAUUCCUGUGAAUAAUACCAUUGAAUUUUGGUGGAGAUUUCAUUGAAUCAGUUUUAUAGUAUUAAUUCUGCCAAUGCAGGAACGUGGGAGAUUUUUCUAUCUUCUAGUGUCUUCAAUUUUGUUCUUCAUUGCUUUCAAGCUUUUAUUAUAAAGGUCUUCCUUGCUUAGGCUCUUUCCCAGUUGUGAUAUUUAAUCUUGCUUGUCAACUUGACAGGAUUUAGAAUCGCCAUGGAGACAAUUUUCUGAGCAUGUCUGUGAGGAUUGUCUAGGAUUGGUUAAUUGAAGUGGGGAAGACUACCCUAAAUGUGAGCCAGGUUCCAUAGCCUAGGUUCUUUGCCUGAAUGAAAAUGAGAAAGGGGGCUAUGCAGUAGCAUUCAUGCCCUGCUCCUUGACUUGAUGGAAACAACCUGACCCUACCUCAAGUUCCUGUUACCCUUACAUUCCUGCAAUGAUAGACUGUAUGCUUGAACUGAGAGCCCAAAUAAACCCUUCUUUAAGUUGC